CCCGCAGGCAACCUCAUCAUCAAGCCGUUUUCAUUUAAUUUUCAUGCACAUUUAAUGGCGUCUGUUAUUGGCUUUUAACGAGAUUUUCACUCCACC
rfam:Drosophila melanogaster ultrabithorax domain bithoraxoid (bxd) gene, exon 4.